rfam:Triticum aestivum genome assembly, contig: Triticum_aestivum_CS42_TGACv1_scaffold_570910_7AS
AUUCUACUCCCUCCGUCCCAAAAUUUUUGUCUUAGAUUUGUCUAAAUACGGAUGUAUCAAUACAUCCGUAUUUAGAAGAUACAUCCGUAUUUAGACAAAUCUAAGACAAGAAUUUUGGAACGGAGGGAGUAUGUA